rnacentral:rRNA from 1 species
UACGUAGGGUGCGAGCGUUAAUCGGAAUUACUGGGCGUAAAGCGUGCGCAGGCGGUUUUGUAAGCCAGAUGUGAAAGCCCCGGGCUUAACCUGGGAAUGGCAUUUGGGACUGCAAGGCUUGAGUGCGGCAGAGGAGACUGGAAUUCCCGGUGUAGCAGUGAAAUGCGUAGAUAUCGGGAGGAACACCGGUGGCGAAGGCGGUUCUCUGGGCCUUACCUGACGCUGAGGAGCGAAAGCGUGGGGAGCGAACAGG